UACAGAGGUGGCAAGCGUUGUUCGGAAUUACUGGGCGUAAAGGGCGCGUAGGCGGCCUACUAAGUCAGACGUGAAAUCCCCCGGCUUAACCUGGGAACUGCGUCUGAUACUGGAAGGCUUGAGGAUGGGAGAGGGAUGUAGAAUUCCAGGUGUAGCGGUGAAAUGCGUAGAUAUCGAGAGGAACACCUGCGGCGAAGGCGGGUUGCUGGGCCGACACUGACGCUGAUGCGCGAAAGCCAGGGGAGCGAACGGG
rnacentral:rRNA from 1 species